UACGUAGGGUCCGAGCGUUGUCCGGAAUUAUUGGGCGUAAAGGGCGUCGUAGGCGGUCUGUUGCGUCGGGAGUGAAAACUUACAGCUUAACUGUGAGCGUGCUUUCGAUACGGGCAGACUUGAGGCAUUCAGGGGAGAACGGAAUUCCUGGUGUAGCGGUGAAAUGCGCAGAUAUCAGGAGGAACACCGGUGGCGAAGGCGGUUCUCUGGGAAUGUCCUGACGCUGAGGAGCGAAAGUGUGGGGAGCGAACAGG
rnacentral:rRNA from 1 species